UGAGAUUCUACUUUGUCUCUGUACUGGCGCUUAGCUUGUUUGAUAGCCUUGCGGAGGGAAUAGCUGCACUGUUUGUAUUCAGUCAUGUUACCAGACACCUUGCCCUGAUUAAAAGCAGUGGUUCGCGCCUUCAGUUUCACACAAAUGCUGCCAUCAAUCCACGGUUUCUGGUUAGGGAAUGUUUUAAUCAUUGCUAUGGGAACGACAUCUUCAACGCACGUUCUAAUGAACUCGCACACCGAAUCAGCGUAUUCGUCAAUGUUGUUGUCUGACGCAAUACGAAACAUCUCCCAGUCCACGUGAUGGAAGCAGUCUUGGAGUGUGGAGUCAGCUUGGUCGGACCAGCUUUGGACAGACCUCAGCGUGGGAGCUUCUUGUUUUAGUUUCUGUCUGUAGGCAGGGAUCAACAAAAUGGAGUCGUGGUCAGCUUUUCCGAAAGGGGGGCGGGGCAGGGCCUUAUAUGCGUCGCGGAUGUUAGAGUAACAAUGAUCCAGGGUCCCAGCCCCCGUCCCGACAAGAGACUUUUUGCCUUGUGGUAGGCCAUCAUUGUAAAUAAGAAUUUGUUCUUAACUGACUUUCCUAGAUAAAGGUGAAACAAAAUACAAAUAUUGUGUCUUACACUGGCUAGAUUUCGGUUAACUUGUAAGGCAGGACUUUGUCUCCCCCUGCUGGUUAAAUUACCCACAUCACAAUGUUGUCCCAUUGAACUUCCAUCUUUUCAUGUCCCUUAAUCACAUUUCAUUGACCUCAUCAUUGUACAAUAAAUAACGUAAAUAUUCAGUUGAUUGAAUGUAAAUGCUGAUGUUUCUGUCCAGAUAUUUUGAAAUGGUUAAUUUACAAACAGGUCUGAGGAAUACAUUGCCAUUUUCUUGACAGUAUAUCAAUGCCAAUAUAUCAAACAGUACAGUUUAUUUAUGUACUGUAUUUUGUAUACUAUAUUAUGUGGAUAUUUCUGUCAUGUUAAGAUGUACUCUUAAAAUGAACAAUAAACAAUGUACUAACAAUAAACAAUG
ensembl:lncRNA